rnacentral:lncRNA from 1 species
AAUAUGGCAGUUCCCUCCCACUGAGGUCUGGACUAUCCCCUCCUGAAUGUGACAGGGCUGGUGGCUAAAACAGAGGCCAAUCUUUCAAACAUUCUUUCCUGCUGGGCGCAGUGGCUCACGCCUGUAAUCCCAGCACUUUGGGAGGCCGAGGCGGAUGGAUCACGAGGUCAGGAGAUCAAGACCAUCCUGGCUAAUACGGUGAAACCCCGUCUCUACUAAAAAUAGAAAAAAAUUAGCCGGGCGUGGUGGCAGGUGCCUGUAGUCCCAGCUACUUUGGAGG